ACUGCCAAAAAAAAGUCUAUUAGGAAUUUUGGUAAAUUACAUAAUGUUUUUCCAUUGACUCAAAUUAUUUCACAGGUGAUUUUAAUGUGUGCUAGAGCUUCAUUGUCAAUGGCCACUUACUUAUACUUUGCUUCAUCACAAGCCCAGUUCCUCUGCUGUUAAAUUCAGUUUACUAGUUUGUGAACUAUGAUCAAAGAUUUGGAUUUCCAAGGAUAAUAAUAAUAAUAAAUAGCAAAGAAGAUUAAAGGAAUAAAGGAAAAAUCUCCCUAAAACAAUUUAUCACAUAAGGAGUGCCUGACUGGCUCAGUUGGUAGAGCAUGCAACUCUUGAUCUUGAGGGGUAUGAAUUCAAGCCCCACAGUGGGUGUAGAGAUUAUUUAAAAUACAUAAAUGAAAUAACAUUUAAAAGGAAUAUAUCACAUGAAAGAUCUGCAUAUUUAAAACAUUCACAUCUAUGCAAUAGAAUGCAAAGUAGGUGCCUAUGAUUGAGGUAGAUCUGUAUGUGCUGAUAUGAGUGAAAAGACAGAGUUGACAUGUUAAUUGGAAAAGAUAAAAACGUUGCAUGUCGUACAUUUGUGUAAAAAAAAGAAAAGAAAAAGAAAAUAUAUGCAUGUCCCUUGCUGAUGUGUAUGAUAUUCUGCAGGAUUAAAAAAAUACUGUCAAAUGUUUACCUCUGAGAAGUAAGGCUGAAGGUUGUGAAUGAAGGCAGGGUGAGAGACUUGCUUAUCUUUCUUUAGUGUUUGUCUUUUUUUUUUUUUAACCUGCAUGUGUUCCUUCUACAAUUAAGAAAUGCUAACAUGAAAUGUUUUGAUCUAAUGGAGAAUCUCUGAAGAACAAGUCCAGGAAGAGGUAAUUUCACAGGCUCUUGUUUGUCCUUCCUUCUGUGCACACAGAGCUUAUACUAAGGGUUGAUCCUUGAACCUGGAAUGCCAAUAAUUCACCUCUUCUUGCCAAAAGUAGUAAGUCCAAGGAAGAAACCGACUGUGUUUGAAGGAUAUAGAAGAUAAAGGAUUGGAGUGUUUGAGAACUGGAAGAUGGCAAAAAAGCAGUAGGAGGAGAAGAAGAAAAGACCAGAUGGAAAGAGCUAGCACCAUGUCUACUUUGUUUAGCUCAGAAUUUGAACCCUUUUACAGAUGCCUGCCUGAGCAUCUUGAAUUGUGACAAACAGUAGGUAAAUCUACCCAGGGAGGAGGAGG
rnacentral:lncRNA from 12 species